rnacentral:rRNA from 1 species
GACGAACGCUGGCGGCGUGCUUAGCACAUGCAAGUCGAACGGAAAGGCCCUUCGGGGUACUCGAGUGGCGAACGGGUGAGUAACACGUGGGUGAUCUGCCCUGCACUUUGGGAUAAGCCUGGGAAACUGGGUCUAAUACCGAAUAGGACCACGCGCUUCAUGGUGUGUGGUGGAAAGCUUUUGCGGUGUGGGAUGGGCCCGCGGCCUAUCAGCUUGUUGGUGGGGUAAUGGCCUACCAAGGCGACGACGGGUAGCCGGCCUGAGAGGGUGACCGGCCACACUGGGACUGAGAUACGGCCCAGACUCCUACGGGAGGCAGCAGUGGGGAAUAUUGCACAAUGGGCGCAAGCCUGAUGCAGCGACGCCGCGUGAGGGAUGACGGCCUUCGGGUUGUAAACCUCUUUCAAUAGGGACGAAGCGCAAGUGACGGUACCUAUAGAAGAAGCACCGGCCAACUACGUG